rnacentral:tRNA from 1 species
GCCUGGGUGGCUCAGUCGGUAGAGCGUCUGACUCUCAGUUUCAGCUCAGAUCAUGAUCUCGUAUUUCGGGAGUUCGAGCCCCACAUCAGGCU